UUUACAUCAAAUACUUAACUGGACGUUAAGUAGGUAGACAACACUUCCGUGAAAAUUAAUACUGUCAUUUCUAUUUCCUUACGGCAAAGCAGACCUCUUCCUCUCUGCGUUCUCUUUCUCUUGAGUAUUUCUUCUGCAACAGAAACCUAUCAUUCUUCUCUGCCUCCGAAUGAAAAACUAAAAGAGCUAGAGAAGAAAAUUAUUCAUCACCACCGAAUCAACUCGAUCAAUCCUAAAUCCAAUUUGAUUCCAAACCCAACAUAAUAUACUUGCUACGUUACAACCGGAACAGAUUACUAUCCCAGAUUCCCAGAAUGCAUGAUUUUGAUAAGAGUGGAACUAUGAGCUUGAAGUUAGCCAAUUUCUUUUCAUUAUAAGCAAGAAGUGAUUCAACAAUGGCAUCUCAACUAUACUAGUGCUCUCACACAAAAACCCAGUAAUCAGAUAUUAAAGUCCCGUUUGUUACUGCUCAACGAAAACGUGGAACUAAAGUGUGCAUGUUUGAACAAUAAACUAUCUUCACGAGAUUCAGAUCGCAUGCAUUGGGACGGGGCGAGGCGAAGCCGAGCCACAUCAAAUCAAAAAUUCUAAGCGACGGGGUGGGCAGACCCCCCGCAACACCGAAUAAAAAUGAUGGUAGAUGGUUUUCGGGUUUCCCGGUGCGUAGCACGGGCACAAAAUCUAGUAUCAUUUAUUUAUUUAUUUAUCUUGUAGCCAAACCUCAAAUAAUAUGCCUAGGUCUCAAAUUUGGGAGGGAAGAGAAAGAAGGUCUACUCUACCCUUCUAGAUGGUGAGAUUUCUUAAUGAAUUUCCGUUUGCCUUGGAAUAAUGAAAAAAAAGACCUAUCAAAAUUGUGCGGUCAUAAAAUCCCCAUAUGCACAAACUUGGCGCUUUUGACUCUAUCCAUAGUUCCUUAAAGUUAUUCCCAAAUCAAUCAGAAAAGAGCCCCUCCCCUCUACAACUGUAUACAGUACACACCACACGCUCACGGAAGUUUUCACUUCCUAUAUAAACCUCAAUCACCGCCUUAGCGUUCACACAAAAACAAAUCCUACUUCUCCACCUCCUCAGCCAACAAAAACUAAUACAAACUUCUCUUCUGAUCUAAGUUUUCAAAACUCCAGCUCAUCAUCAAAUCUCUUCUGCAUCAACCAAAACUCUUAAUUUUAUUUUCUCAGAAAUAUCUCUAAUGGCAUCAAUUAGCAAAGGAGAAAACCAACAAAGAAAGCAAAGCACUAGUAGAUUGCAAAGGAGAGCACCAGCAUCGAUCCAAGUAAACCCAGCAUCAAGUUUUGCACAAGGAUGGAAAGCAGCGAUUCCCCUUCUAUCACCUCUAGCUAUGUCACCUACUUCACCACCGCCUAAUGGAGAUCGAACGGCUGAGGUCUCAUCAUCAUCAAUUUCAACAGAAAAAGCUAAUUUAAUCAAGAGUAACUGGCAACAUCCAUCGGCUCCAUUUCAUUACGAUCCAACUAAUAAUAUUAACAAACCUGCUAAACAAUUUGUACCUUCUUUUGUUCCUCGUUGUAGAUAGUAUCAGUGAUACAUCAUAUUUAGAUCUUAUGAUGUAUGCUUAAUUAUGUACUACCAUGGUUAAAUCCUUGCUAUCAAGAAAGUUAAAGGAUCAAUCAAGAUUCAGUAUAUAUACGGAUUACUAUACAGUAUUAAUAGUUGUGUAUUGCAUAUCGACGAUACCCAUGUCUUUUUCUUAUC